CUUCCGUAGGUGAACCUGCGGAAGGAUCAUUAAUUAUGUUAAAGCGCCUUACCUUAGGGUUUCCUCUGGGGUAAGUGAUUGCUUCUACACUGUGAAAAUUUGGCUGAGAGACUCAGACUGGUCAUGGGUAGACCUAUCUGGGGUUUGAUCGAUGCCACUCCUGGUUUCAGGAGUACCCUUCAUAAUAAACCUAGAAAUUCAGUAUUAUAAAGUUUAAUAAAAAACAACUUUUAACAAUGGAUCUCUUGGUUCUCGCAUCGAUGAAGAACGUAGCAAAGUGCGAUAACUAGUGUGAAUUGCAUAUUCAGUGAAUCAUCGAGUCUUUGAACGCAGCUUGCACUCUAUGGUUUUUCUAUAGAGUACGCCUGCUUCAGUAUCAUCACAAACCCACACAUAACAUUUGUUUAUGUGGUGAUGGGUCGCAUCGCUGUUUUAUUACAGUGAGCACCUAAAAUGUGUGUGAUUUUCUGUCUGGCUUGCUAGGCAGGAAUAUUACGCUGGUCUCAGGAUCUUUUUUUUUGGUUCGCCCAGGAAGUAAAGUACAAGAGUAUAAUCCAGUAACUUUCAAACUAUGAUCUGAAGUCAGGUGGGAUUACCCGCUGAACUUAAGCAUAUCAAAAG
rnacentral:rRNA from 1 species